CGAUAACGAACGAGACCUUAACCUGCUAAAUAGUUAGGCCAACGUUUGUUGGUCGUCAACUUCUUAGAGGGACUAUUGACUAUUAGUCAAUGGAAGUUUGAGGCAAUAACAGGUCUGUGAUGCCCUUAGAUGUUCUGGGCCGCACGCGCGCUACACUGAUCGAGUCAACGAGUUUACAACCUUGGCCGGAAGGUCUGGGUAAUCUUUUGAAACUUGAUCGUGCUGGGGAUAGUCCAUUGCAAUUAUUGGACUUCAACGAGGAAUUCCUAGUAAGCGUGAGUCAUCAGCUCGCGUUGAUUACGUCCCUGCCCUUUGUACACACCGCCCGUCGCUACUACCGAUUGAAGGGCU
rnacentral:rRNA from 1 species